rnacentral:misc_RNA from 1 species
CAUCUCUUCACUUGCAUGGUAAGUUGUUCGUUUGGCUUUUUGAAUAUCCAUAUCAUACCCAAUGUAGUAUAAUUUACAUAAAAUUUGGUAUAAAAUGAUUCAACUUUGUUUCCCAUCUGGUAACUCUCUGUUCUAAUUUUUUUUUUAUGCUUUUUUUCUGAUGAAUCAUUGAAUUUUUAUGAUAUUGGAAACUGGAUUAUUUUACUCAUCUGCGUAGUUUUGUUCUGUCUAGUAGAUAAGAUUUGUGGGAAGUGGGAACCCAUUUUUGAAAAACAAGCCUUUAAGGUAGCAGAAGGAUUAUAUGAUGGCUUCUGCCGCUUAUUGUGCCACAUGGAAUUCUGAUGCCAUCUUAUAAUUGUUUGGUUUCAAUAACUUGCUUGAUGAGCUGCAGUUCCAUGUUAGUACCAUACAAUUUUAGCAAGGGUAGAAAGGUUGGAUUAUUGUGGGAAUAAUGGUUACAAUUUUAUUUUCCUGUUGGAGAUCUCUCAGUGUGUGUUGUGCAUGUUGAGAAGUUGAUGAAAUGGUUAUCUUGAUAGGAUAGUUGCAUGUAUAUACACUGGAAAUCUGGAUGCAAGAUUUUAGUUAUUAAUCAUUGAGCAAACGAUAAGAGUUAUGAUGAAAUUUUUCACCAUGUAUUGCUCUUUUGAGCUGUAUGACUGUAUAGAAGUUCCAUUUAGUUGUUUUCCUUUACUUUCUUUGUCCUUCUGUUUUGUUUUAUCUCAAAGUAUCAUAUUUGUUACAGGCUCCCAAAAGAGGUGUUAAGG